AUGAUGAACGCUAGCUACAGGCUUAACACAUGCAAGUCGAGGGGCAGCAUGGUCUUAGCUUGCUAAGACUGAUGGCGACCGGCGCACGGGUGAGUAACACGUAUCCAACCUGCCGUCUACUCUUGGACAGCCUUCUGAAAGGAAGAUUAAUACAAGAUGGCAUCAUGAGUCCGCAUGUUCACAUGAUUAAAGGUAUUCCGGUAGACGAUGGGGAUGCGUUCCAUUAGAUAGUAGGCGGGGUAACGGCCCACCUAGUCUUCGAUGGAUAGGGGUUCUGAGAGGAAGGUCCCCCACAUUGGAACUGAGACACGGUCCAAACUCCUACGGGAGGCAGCAGUGAGGAAUAUUGGUCAAUGGGCGAGAGCCUGAACCAGCCAAGUAGCGUGAAGGAUGACUGCCCUAUGGGUUGUAAACUUCUUUUAUAAAGGAAUAAAGUCGGGUAUGCAUACCCGUUUGCAUGUACUUUAUGAAUAAGGAUCGGCUAACUCCGUGCCAGCAGCCGCGGUAAUACGGAGGAUCCGAGCGUUAUCCGGAUUUAUUGGGUUUAAAGGGAGCGUAGAUGGAUGUUUAAGUCAGUUGUGAAAGUUUGCGGCUCAACCGUAAAAUUGCAGUUGAUACUGGAUAUCUUGAGUGCAGUUGAGGCAGGCGGAAUUCGUGGUGUAGCGGUGAAAUGCUUAGAUAUCACGAAGAACUCCGAUUGCGAAGGCAGCCUGCUAAGCUGCAACUGACAUUGAGGCUCGAAAGUGUGGGUAUCAAACAGGAUUAGAUACCCUGGUAGUCCACACGGUAAACGAUGAAUACUCGCUGUUUGCGAUAUACUGCAAGCGGCCAAGCGAAAGCGUUAAGUAUUCCACCUGGGGAGUACGCCGGCAACGGUGAAACUCAAAGGAAUUGACGGGGGCCCGCACAAGCGGAGGAACAUGUGGUUUAAUUCGAUGAUACGCGAGGAACCUUACCCGGGCUUAAAUUGCAGAUGAAUUACGGUGAAAGCCGUAAGCCGCAAGGCAUCUGUGAAGGUGCUGCAUGGUUGUCGUCAGCUCGUGCCGUGAGGUGUCGGCUUAAGUGCCAUAACGAGCGCAACCCUUGUUGUCAGUUACUAACAGGUUCCGCUGAGGACUCUGACAAGACUGCCAUCGUAAGAUGUGAGGAAGGUGGGGAUGACGUCAAAUCAGCACGGCCCUUACGUCCGGGGCUACACACGUGUUACAAUGGGGGGUACAGAGGGCCGCUACCACGCGAGUGGAUGCCAAUCCCCAAAACCUCUCUCAGUUCGGACUGGAGUCUGCAACCCGACUCCACGAAGCUGGAUUCGCUAGUAAUCGCGCAUCAGCCACGGCGCGGUGAAUACGUUCCCGGGCCUUGUACACACCGCCCGUCAAGCCAUGGGAGCCGGGGGUACCUGAAGUGCGUAACCGCGAGGAGCGCCCUAGGGUAAAACUGGU
rnacentral:rRNA from 1 species